AACUGAUAUCUCCAAAAGGAAUGGAAUUUAAGCAGAAUGAUGCUCUAACAUGGCUUUGCAGUUCACCUGAGAAACAAAUUUUUUCAUUUGAAAGUAUUGUUAUGCUGCCAGCUUUGGAACCAAGGUGUACAAGAAUGGAGUGUGCACUACAGGAAGAAAUAUACAAAUCUAAAAGUCAAUUUCAGCUUUUCCAGAACUGCAGAUUUUACAUAACGAUGGUAAGACCACACUCAGUUCACUUCCUAAAAUCUGUAUUUAACUCUGUCACAGUACAGAGUUAAAUACAGAGUCAGUAAGUUUUUUUUUUUUUUUUGCAGUCAUUUUGCCUGACGUUUUUUUUCUCAAAAUAGUGGUCAUGGAAACGCUCUUUGUCAGCGUCAGAUUUGGAAAUCUGGCUGAACCCUCGACAAAGGCAUUCAGAUGUGUUUGCUGCAGACUCAAAGUGCAAAUGCUCUCAUGCUCUCCCAUAAUAACUACCAUCUGACGGCGCAGAGCGGCUGUGAUUGGGCACGCGGCUCUCCGGCUCCCCCGCCUCAGCGUGCGGCUCAACACCGGAAACAGACUCGGUCCUCUGGAGGCUGCCUGAAAUCCCUUUCUUACACACUGAGGGAAUUCCAGUUGUAUAGCUCUGUACAUCCACUUGUCACCUUUGGACCAUUAACAGACAUACUGGAACACUAAAGAUGCUUAAAACAGUUCUGGGGCAUAAAAGGCCACAGUCUAAUUACGCCACCACCCACAAAUCACUGUCACCAGAAGGAUUUAAGUCCACACAUUCAACAUUUUCAGUCUCAGAAUUCACACAGGCAAUAAAUUGACUAAUUAAGGGAUGCCACACCAUUCAUAAACCUGUCAUUUGACUAGAUUUGAUUGUAAGGGCUACGGAUCACUGUAUGGGCCUCGUAUUGGUCUGGUCACCAAUGGGCCUCCUUUAAACGACUUCAGGGUAAAGUAGUCUUCAAAGGACUCGUCUGCUUACAUUCACAGUCAAAUCAGAACUGUGACAUAACAUUUAUUAUCAGGCCUUAUGGUUCUAUUUCUUCAAUGCUGCUCAUUCACGAGCAUUUAUCUGACCUCUAUCUCCAAAAAUAGGUUUGGCUCACUUACAUGUACAGUUCAAUCGUAUACUUGCUGUAAUGCUGUAGCAUUUUUAAUCUGUCCAUGUACUUGUCUCUGAAUAUAUUACUAGUUGGCUUCCUAAAUAUGUUCCUAGCUGAGCACUCAGAUCCUCUGACUCCCUUCUUUUAAUAAUGCCAGAACUAAAACCUAUGGUGAAGCUGCUUUCAGCUCAUAUGGCCCCCGCCUCUGGAACAGUCUCCCACCUGCUCUAAGGGCAGUUGAAACGGUAGUGAUCUUUAAACGUUAACUUAAGAGGCGCCUUUCAGGCUUGCUUUUACCUAGGAGAUUCAUUAACAAGUUUUCCUUAUUUAUUUAUUUUCUGUCUCUGUCAUUAUUUUAUAACAUUGUUCUAUUGAUUUUUAUUGUUUCGUUGAUUUAUAGAUUUUUAUCGACUUUUACAAUAUAAAGUACAUUGCAUUGCAUUCGGUUGCACAAAAUGAGCUAUACAAAGAAAGAUUGAUCGAUUGAUAAACAGUAUUCUUCCAAUGGUUUCACUCACAUACAGGGCUAUGUGCACAUAUGGUACGGUCAAGCUGUAAUGGUGGCAUUUUGUUGUAAACAGAGAGAGCUAAAAAGUGAAGCAAGGCAACGAUCACUGGCUAGCAGCACGGAAUGGCCACGUUGUGUUGACUGAAGAAAGAUCAAUCUGCCGUGUUGCCACCAGGUUUGGUAGGAACUCAGCUCUCCAUUGUCUCUGCUCACAGGGGUUGUCUUGGUAGCAAUUAUCAACCUUGCAAUGGUACUGGGCUCACAGUAAGGACACAGUGCUGUUUUUUGAUUUUGGUUUUAACCCCAGUCCUUAAGGGCCUCCAUACAUGGCCUAUUAAGGCUGACCAUCCACCCUGGGUCUAUCAGCUCAAACUCUCAUGAACUGAGUGAUGUUCACCCAUGUUACAUGUCCAGAUAAAACGUACACCAACACCACUCAGCAAUACACAUUGGUUAAAAAUAAGUUAAUAAUGGAAAUAAAUGUAUUUGUUGUCAGCUUCUGCUUCUAGAAUUUUAAAGUCAGAAUGGAGAUCAUACAAUAGUGCAUAUUUAUAUAAAUGUGGUGUGGGCAGGUUUUCAGGUAGCAUGAUUCUGGACCUCUCUUGCUGAGUGUGGAGGUGUGCUCAUUACCAUGAGUAAACUAUUAAAUUAUGUGCAUCAAUCAUUUACUUAUAGGCAGCGAGUGUGGUCAACAUGCUGCUGUGACCAUGUAGUGAAACGAGAAUGUAUGCUUGCUACGGUUAGCCAAGGUGAAAGUACCAGGCUCUCGUGUGGUCUACACAUAUAUAUAUAUAUAUAUAUAUAUGUGUGUGUCAGCUCUAACAUGUGUGAUCAAGUCUCUAAAUUUAUGUCCAAACCUCACUGUUGUUGUCAGAACAGAGCUGUGCCUGUUCUCUCUGAACUCUUUGACUUGAUCUUUUCUUACCUUGAGAACGAAACAGAACUCCGUGGGUGCCUUGUAUUUAUGUUUGUACUCCUUGCCGUAGUAGACAUUCACGUUGUCGAACUGGACGAAGCAAGCCAAGUCGCGCGACGUCUGUAGAGGAAGAGGAGAGGCAGUGAAGCCCUGCAGGCUGCCACCCCCAACCAAGAAACAUCCCACAGAAUUCUGACCUUGCUCUUUCCUUUGGGAACAUAAUAAAUCCCAGAAGCCCGCAGCAGGAAGUAACGCUGUUUCCAGGACCUCUUUCCAUCCUCUUUCAGGUACAGAGGCCCCUCCAGAUCAGGAACAAUGAUGGAGGACCCACAGAAGUUCUCCUGAACAGUUAAAGAAGGUGGAUAUAGAGGCCAAGUUAGUCACACACACUGAAAAACUGUCUUUGAUUACAAUUUUCUGAAAAUGAACUUAACUAGUUUCAGUUACACACUCAUAGAAAUAAGGGUUCUUCAUUUGUUGCUCAAGGUAAACCACUUUUCCUGCUGUGUGGAACCCUGACAUAACCCACUCCAGAUGGUUACGUUAGCAUUUAGAAGCACUUUAGAGGUAUAGCAGGGUACUGUAAUGACCAAAUUGCUGAAAGAAUCCCAAUAUGCAUGUUCUUAUUAUUGAUUUAGGGGUGUUUCCUCCCAAAAAUAGCAUAAGGAACCGUUUCAUCAACAAAAAGUUUUUCAGAAACAGUUACCUUUUGUACAAAGGUAGCUUUCUUCGACAAUACCAACAUGCUGGGUGUGCACAUCAAUAACUUCAGUGAAAAUAUUGGGUGAUAUCCCAAAAAUGUCAAACAUUUCUUUAUAACUUUUUUCUGUGCUUUUUAAUCUUUUUUUGGACCUGACACAACUGUGCGAACCUCUCUUUUAGACAUAACAGCUUUUGCCCUGGUUAGCUUCUGUUUUGGAAGCUUUAUCAUUCCGUGGAUGUAAUUCUGGAGAAGUGCAAACACACUGUUCUGAGAUGUAGUGGCAUGUUCAGGCACAGCACACUCACCUCCAGCAGCAUUUCUUUGUCCUUCUCUUUCAUGUCCUUGAGAGCCUUUUUGUCUUUCUUCCAGAGAUAGAAGUUCUGGGGUAUCGUAUGCACAGCAGAAAUAAGAGACCACAAAGAAGCAGUUUCUACAGAGGUAUACUGUAUGAUAAUAGAGAAUGUAGUAGCACUACGAGGUUUUUCCUUUUAAUUUUUUAUCUCUUCUGUACAAAUCAUGCAGCAGUGUACCUACCUAAGUAUAUGUCCAAUGAGCAAAUUAACAAGAAUAUAUUGGCCUUUGACAUGUGGUAGAUUUUACAAAGUGAAGCCACAGUUCUCACUGCACUAGUGACAACAGUAUUUCGACUCUAAUCACUACUUUUGGUAAAUGGACUGCAUAUAUAUAACGCUUUUAUCCAAAGCACUUUACAACUGAUGCCUCCCAUUCACCAGAGCAGUUAGGGGUUAGGUGUCUUGCUCAGGGACACUUCGACGCACCCAGUGCGGGGAUCGAGCCGGCAACCCUCCGACUGCCAGACAAACCGCUCUUAUGUCCUGAGCUAUGUCGCCCUGACUUUUGAUAGUCUAAAAAUGCACUGUGCCCUGCCCCGAGCAAAUGGAUGACUAAUAAUCAUACAUUCAGCUUUGACAAAAUAUGUUGGAUGAAUGUAAUGCACUUUAUUUACAAAUGAAGUCACUGUAGAAGUACAUUGUACAGUUUCCUCAGAUUAACAUCUGAGACAGGAGUCUAGCCAGCAGCUGCCACAUGGCUGAAAUACUUUGCAAUUAUGGAAGUCUGUGCUGUCAAAAUAAGCACAGUAAUAAUUGUUGUGUUUACAAUCUACGGCUCUAUUUUACCAUAUGGUAUUGUUCAAUGUAAAUGGAGGCCAAUCUCUGAUUCCAAGAGUAUCUAACAUAUGUGAAAAUAAAGACAAUGCCCAAACAGCA